rnacentral:rRNA from 1 species
CCUACGGGAGGCAGCAGUGGGGAAUUUUGGACAAUGGGGGCAACCCUGAUCCAGCCAUUCCGCGUGAGUGAAGAAGGCCUUCGGGUUGUAAAGCUCUUUCGCAAGGGAAGAAAACUUAUGAUCGAAUAAAUCAUGAGGUUGACGGUACCUUGAUAAGAAGCACCGGCUAACUACGUGCCAGCAGCCGCGGUAAUACGUAGGGUGCGAGCGUUAAUCGGAAUUACUGGGCGUAAAGCGUGCGCAGGCGGUUUUGUAAGUCGGAUGUGAAAUCCCCGGGCUCAACCUGGGAACUGCGUUCGAAACUGCAAGGCUAGAGUGUGUCAGAGGGGGGUAGAAUUCCACGUGUAGCAGUGAAAUGCGUAGAGAUGUGGAGGAAUACCAAUGGCGAAGGCAGCCCCCUGGGAUAACACUGACGCUCAUGCACGAAAGCGUGGGGAGCAAACAGGAUUAGAUACCCUGGUAGUCCACGCCCUAAACGAUGUCAACUAGUUGUUGGUAGAGUAAAAUCUAUGUAGUAACGUAGCUAACGCGUGAAGUUGACCGCCUGGGGAGUACGGUCGCAAGAUUAAAACUCAAAUGAAUUGACGG